rnacentral:lncRNA from 10 species
AGAAAUUCUCUCUUAGGAGCUGAUCAAAAUCAAACUAAGAAAUUUUUUACACAUGUGAGUCUUGGGGACUUCAGGGUCAUUCAAGGCAGAAUCAGGCCAUAAAUAGUAAUGCCAGAGAUGACAGGAUGUGUAGAGGGACAGGGGAAAAAUCUUACAGUGAAAGAAGAGUAGGGGAGUCUUGAAGUAUAAGUCCUUUGGGGGUCAGAGGACUUUAGAGAAGCUGAUGUUGUAAAAGAAAACAGACUUGUCACCUCUGGCAAAGCCUCAACAUAUGGGUAUGUAUCCGUCAGGGUUCAGCCAGAGAAGCAGAACAACUGGAAGAUAAUUAGAAUUAUCAGCUCAUUUGUCAUGUGGGGAUCCUCUGUGUUGGGAACCGAUGCUUGGUAUCACAAAAAUCAACACUGAGACAAAGUAUCUCUCAGCAAGGCUAGUUUACUUUCUGCAGAAAGGGUGCCACUCGCUAGCAGUCUCGCCAUGAGAGCACACACGAACAAAGGAGACAGGGUCAUUUAUAACCUGAAGUGUCCACCCUUCUGCUGUGUCCAGU